rnacentral:ncRNA from 1 species
GAAUGCAUGAGCCGGUGCCAAUCCGGUUGCUGUCAGGCGUCUUCCGUCCCAAGCCUCUCCUCUGCAAGGCUCAGACCGCGAGAAGGCCUCGACAGCGCCGGAGCGGCUGAGAUUAUACGGCGUAACUUGAUCUGGAUAAUACCAGCGAAAGGAUCAUGCUUCUUGUCUUC